rnacentral:rRNA from 1 species
GCCUACGGGGGGCAGCAGUAGGGAAUUUUCGUCAAUGGGCGCAAGCCUGAACGAGCAAUGCCGCGCGAACGAGGAAGGUCUUCGGAUCGUAAAGUUCUGUUGCAGGGGAAAAAGAGCGGAGAGAGGAAAUGAACUCCGAUUGAUAUUACCCUUCGAGGAAGUCACGGCUAACUACGUGCCAGCAGCCGCGGUAAUACGUAGGUGGCGAGCGUUAUCCGGAAUGAUUGGGCGUAAAGGGUGCGUAGGCGGCCUGCUAAGUCUGGAGUGAAAGGUACCGGCUCAAUCGGUACAGGCUCUGGAAACUG